AUUGAACGCUGGCGGCAGGCCUAACACAUGCAAGUCGAACGGUAACAGGAAGAAGCUUGCUUCUUUGCUGACGAGUGGCGGACGGGUGAGUAAUGUCUGGGAAACUGCCUGAUGGAGGGGGAUAACUACUGGAAACGGUAGCUAAUACCGCAUAACGUCGCAAGACCAAAGAGGGGGACCUUCGGGCCUCUUGCCAUCGGAUGUGCCCAGAUGGGAUUAGCUAGUAGGUGGGGUGACGGCUCACCUAGGCGACGAUCCCUAGCUGGUCUGAGAGGAUGACCAGCCACACUGGAACUGAGACACGGUCCAGACUCCUACGGGAGGCAGCAGUGGGGAAUAUUGCACAAUGGGCGCAAGCCUGAUGCAGCCAUGCCGCGUGUAUGAAGAAGGCCUUCGGGUUGUAAAGUACUUUCAGCGGGGAGGAAGGGAGUAAAGUUAAUACCUUUGCUCAUUGACGUUACCCGCAGAAGAAGCACCGGCUAACUCCGUGCCAGCAGCCGCAGUAAAAC
rnacentral:rRNA from 1 species